GACUCUAUGGCGCAAUUGGCAGCGCAUCGGAUUCCAGAGACAUGUAACACAUACGGAUGUACCCGAAGGUUGGGGGUUCGAGUCCCUCUGGGGUCA